rnacentral:lncRNA from 1 species
GGUCGGAACACGACUCCGGUCGCCCAGUGUUAGCCACUGCAGGACCACGCUGCCCGCAGAGCCUGGGGGUUUUCGUGUGAGAACACAGUUUUGCAGGGCUCGGGUCACGGGGGUGACGGCCCCAUCUGUCCUGCUUGGUAAAACACACAAGCACAAUUCUCCCUUUCUGUACGGAGGAAGGCGGCCCUGCCAUGUAUUCGCUCUAGAGACCCAUCACUGCGGAUUCAGAGACCAAGGUUUUGAAACUGAAAAUCAGGGCUUAGAAACACUAACAAGGAGACCGAAUGGCUGAAACCCCGAUACCUAUUUUCUUCAGCGCAUUUGAUACCAACAAGGGGGACAUCUGUCAUAAACACGUUCUGUUGCACAACCUGAGACAGGCCUGUCACUUGCUUUGCUCUUCACUUCAUGGCUCUGAUCUGCACGCACUUUCUAAGGCCUAGGACAAGCCAGAAAUUGCUUCCAAGACACUUGUGUGGCGCAACCUCUAUCGGCAAGUGCAGUUUGCCUCACGGGCUUCGUCAAACACUUGGCACAGGGGUCCACGAACUGCUGCCUGUGUGCCAGACCCAGCCCACCACCUGUUUUCCUACAGCCCUCCAGCUAAGUAUGGUUUUGACAUUUUUAAAUGAUUGGAAAAAAUCAAAAGAAUACAAUUUUGUGUUGUGAAAUUAUAUGAAAUUCAAAGUUCAGUGCCACGAAUAAAGCCAUGUUUAUUCCUUACCUAUUGUUUGGCUGCCUUCAUGCUACAAGGGCAGCAGAAUUCAGUUGUGACAGACCGUAUGGCUGGCAAAGCCUGGACUAUGUCCUACUAGGCCCUUUAAGGAAAAAACUGGCAACCACUGCCUUAGAGCAAUGAGGGUCUCUACAGACCAAGCGUAUAUGUCUUAGGAAUAUGGAUCUCCUCAUCUUUAGUGUGAAAAACGAUGCUGACAAAUGCAGGAAAGGAAAUGGAAUGAUGGAGAUCCACUUUUAACAAUGCUGGUUUAUGUGCAGUGAACUUGACAGUAACUACUUUUUAAUUUACCGAUGCCAUGAACAGUCCAAGGAAAAAAUCCUUUUCUAGAUUAGCCGAUUUCACUGUAUUAAAGAUAAUUUUUAAUGUACAUCAAAAGACGUCAUCAAGAGAAUGAAAAGACAAGCCAUAAACUGGGAAAAGGUAUUUCCCUCAAAACCCACAAUGAGUAGAACCCAGAUUAUGUAAAGAACUCCUAAAAAUCAAUCAGAAUAAAAAAUAAUCAACUGGG